rnacentral:rRNA from 1 species
UACGUAGGGUGCGAGCGUUGUCCGGAAUUAUUGGGCGUAAAGAGCUUGUAGGCGGUUUGUCGCGUCUGCUGUGAAAAUCCGGGGCUCAACCCCGGACUUGCAGUGGGUACGGACAGACUAGAGUGUGGUAGGGGAGACUGGAAUUCCUGGUGUAGCGGUGAAAUGCGCAGAUAUCAGGAGGAACACCGAUGGCGAAGGCAGGUCUCUGGGCCACUACUGACGCUGAGAAGCGAAAGCAUGGGGAGCGAACAGG